GCCUCUCGCGCGCCUUCUAGAGGCUUGCGUCCCGGGAGCCCGGCCUCGUGCGCAGCGCUUUGAGGACUUCCUAAAGCCAGUCCAGGAGCACAGUUUUUACCUGUUCAGUGGCACAUAUCUGUGAUUGAAACUCUGUUUUUGCAUCUUUAACCACUGAAGGAAGAAUGGUAAGGUAAAAAGACCUUAGGCUUUGGAGCCAGUUGGAUCUGGCUUUGAAAAGCAACCCUGACCACUUACUACUUGAACACUCUUGGGUGAGGCUCUUGACUUCUGGGAGCUUACCUUCCUCAUUCAUUAGUU